ACUGUCAUUUAGGAGUUAAAUCACUUUGUUUCUGUUUAUGCAGCCCUAGCCACACCUCCCCUGGCUAUGAUUGACAGAGCCUGCAUGAAAAAAAAAAACUGGUUUCACUUUCAAAAAGAUGUAAUUUACCUUAAAUAAUUGUAUCUCAAUCUCUAAAUUGAACUUUAAUCACAUACAGGAGGCUCUUGCAGGGUCUAGCAAGCUAUUAACAUAGCAGGGGAUAAGAAAAUCUUAAUUAAACAGAACUUGCAAUAAAGAAAGCCUAAAUAGGGCUCUCUUUACAGGAAGUGUUUAUGGAAGGCUGUGCAAGUCACAUGCAGGGAGGUGUGACUAGGGUUCAUAAACAAGGGGAUUUAACUCCUAAAUGGCAGAGGAUUGAGCAGUGAGGCUGCAGGGGCAUGUUCCAUACACCAAAACUGCUUCAUUAAACCAAAGUUGUUCAGGUGACUAUAGUGCCCCUUUAAACAUAUACAUAACCUUUAGAUAUUAAGGUCUACUUUAGUCCUACUUAGUUAAGUUAUAUGAGGUCUACUUUAGUUCUUAGUUUAGUUAUAUGAACUUAUUGUCAC